UAAGGGCCUAGUGAAGGGUUUGUGUGC
rnacentral:piRNA from 1 species